ensembl:lncRNA
CCAAGACUGAGUGCUUUAUAGGUGCAUUUCAUAAAACUAUGCUGUUUGUGCUGCGUGUGUGUGUGUUGUGUUUGAAUGUGUGAAUGCUGUGUGUGUUCUGUGUGUGUGAUGUGUGUCUGCUUUGUGUUUGCUGUGGGAGUGAUGUGUGUCUGCUGUUUGUCUGCUGUGUGUACGCUGUGUGUAUAUGUUAGUGCUGUGUGCAUGUGUGUGUAUGUGUGUGUAUGCUGUGUUUAUCCGUGUGUGCGAUGUGUUUGCUGUGUGUGUGUGUGGGUGGGUGCUGUGUCAUGGAUGCGUCCUCCCCCUCCCCUCCCCCUCACGCCCACAGGGGAGAUCACAUGGGGUUCACUAAAAAGCAAGUACGGACGCUGUCCCACAAAAACAGAUCACCCGCCAUCACUGUCUCUUCAGCGGGGAGAGACCGAAACAUAUAGAGCAGGAGGGAGGAGCAGGAGGGUGGAGACUGAAACAUAUGGAGCAGGAGGGUGGAGCCUGAAACAUAUGGAGCAGGAGGGUGGAGGCUGAAACAUGGAGCAGGAGGGUGGAGCCUGAAACAUAUGGAGCAGGAGGGUGGAGGCUGAAACAUGGAGCAGGAGGGUGGAGGCUGAAACAUAUAGAGCAGGAGGGUGGAGCAGGAGGGUGGAGGCUGAAACAUGGAGCAGGAGGGUGGAGGCUGAAACAUGGAGCAGGAGGGUGGAGGCUGAAACAUAUAGAGCAGGAGGGUGGAGCAGGAGGGUGGAGGCUGAAACAUAUGGAGCAGGAGGGUGGAGGCUGAAACAUAUGGAGCAGGAGGGUGGAGGCUGAAACAUAUGGAGCAGGAGGGUGGAGGCUGAAACAUAUAGAGCAGGAGGGUGGAGGCUGAAACAUAUGGAGCAGGAGGGUGGAGACCCGGGAGACGUACAGGGAGGAAUUCCCUGAGGACGAGGAAGAUUGGGAUGAGGAUGAUGUUGAAGAUGAUGAAGAUGGUGUGAUGAUGAGGAUGAGGAUGAUGAAGAUCAUGAUGAGGAUGCCAAAACAAAAAUCAAAAUCAAGUAUGCACAGACUUCAGGUUGCUUACAAUGAUUGUUUUAGGAUCUUACCUAAAAAGCCAAGGUGGCGUAGUACAAGUGAGCUUUUAGGAGUUCACACCUUGCAAGCUUUAUUGAGGCACCUCAUGUACAGAUUAAUCGGUUGCUUGAAUGACUCAAAGAAUGUAAUUAUAAUGCUGCUGUCUAACCCAAGAUAUAGUGCAGUAUGCUAACAGUCAUACCUUUGAAGACAUUGGUAUAUGUGCCUUUUAUAAGAGACAGGAAUGUUUGUAUUCUAAUGUAUUUUGUAGAUGAUGAUGAUGACGAUCAUUAUGAC